rnacentral:rRNA from 1 species
GAGUUUGAUCAUGGCUCAGGAUGAACGCUAGCGGCAGGCUUAACACAUGCAAGUCGAGGGGUAACGGGGAAGCUUGCUUCCGCCGACGACCGGCGCACGGGUGCGUAACGCGUAUACAAUCUACCUUAUACUGGGGUAUAGCCUUUAGAAAUGAAGAUUAACCCCCCAUAGUCUCUUAGAGUGGCAUCACUUCUAGAGUAAAGGUUACGGUAUAAGAUGAGUAUGCGUUCUAUUAGUUUGUUGGUGUGGUAACGGCACACCAAGACUACGAUAGAUAGGGGCCCUGAGAGGGGGAUCCCCCACACUGGUACUGAGACACGGACCAGACUCCUACGGGAGGCAGCAGUGAGGAAUAUUGGACAAUGGAGGCAACUCUGAUCCAGCCAUGCCGCGUGCAGGAAGACUGCCCUAUGGGUUGUAAACUGCUUUUAUACAGGAAGAAAAAACUCUACGUGUAGAGUCUUGACGGUACUGUAAGAAUAAGGAUCGGCUAACUCCGUGCCAGCAGCCGCGGUAAUACGGAGGAUCCAAGCGUUAUCCGGAAUUAUUGGGUUUAAAGGGUCCGUAGGUGGACAAUUAAGUCAGAGGUGAAAUCCUGCAGCUCAACUGUAGAAUUGCCUUUGAAACUGGUUGUCUUGAGUCAUUAUGAAGUGGUUAGAAUGUGUAGUGUAGCGGUGAAAUGCAUAGAUAUUACACAGAAUACCAAUUGCGAAGGCAGAUCACUAAUAAUGUACUGACACUGAUGGACGAAAGCGUGGGUAGCGAACAGGAUUAGAUACCCUGGUAGUCCACGCCGUAAACGAUGGUCACUAGCUGUUCGGACUUCGGUCUGAGUGGCUAAGCGAAAGUGAUAAGUGACCCACCUGGGGAGUACGUUCGCAAGAAUGAAACUCAAAGGAAUUGACGGGGGCCCGCACAAGCGGUGGAGCAUGUGGUUUAAUUCGAUGAUACGCGAGGAACCUUACCAGGGCUUAAAUGUAGAGUGACAGGUCUAGAGAUAGAUUUUUCUUCGGACACUUUACAAGGUGCUGCAUGGUUGUCGUCAGCUCGUGCCGUGAGGUGUCAGGUUAAGUCCUAUAACGAGCGCAACCCCUGUUGUUAGUUGCCAGCGAGUAAUGUCGGGAACUCUAGCAAGACUGCCAGUGCAAACUGUGAGGAAGGUGGGGAUGACGUCAAAUCAUCACGGCCCUUACGUCCUGGGCUACACGCGUGCUACAAUGGUAGGUACAGAGAGCAGCCAAUGCGUGAGCAUGAGCGAAUCUACAAAACCUAUCUCAGUUCGGAUCGGAGUCUGCAACUCGACUCCGUGAAGCUGGAAUCGCUAGUAAUCGGAUAUCAGCCAUGAUCCGGUGAAUACGUUCCCGGGCCUUGUACACACCGCCCGUCAAGCCAUGGAAGUUGGGAGUGCCUGAAGUCCGUCACCGCAAGGAGCGGCCUAGGGUAAAAUCGAUAACUAGGGCUAAGUCGUAACAAGGUAACC